rnacentral:lncRNA from 1 species
AUACGUAAAGCUUAUUAAAGAGCAGUGAUACUCUGAUGAAGGCCUUGAGGUCGAUACGUAAAGCUUAUUAAAGAGCAGUGAUACUCUGAUGAAGGCCUUGAGGUCGAUACGUAAAGCUUAUUAAAGAGCAGUGAUACUCUGAUGAAGGCCUUGAGGUAGAUACGUAAAGCUUAUUAAAGAGCAGUUGUAACAGUAUUGCUUCCGUCCCUCUCCUCGCCCCUACCUGGGCUCGAACCAGGGACCCUCUGCACACAUCGACAACAGUCAUCCUCGAAGCAUCAUUACCCAUGGCUCCAAAAAAGCCGCGGCCCUUGCAGAGCAAGGGGAACAACUACUUCAGGUCUCAGAGCGAGUGACGUCACCCGAUUGAAAUGCUAUUAGCGCGCACCACCGCUAACUAACAAGCCAUUUCACAUCAGUUACACAGUGAUACUAUGAUCAAGGCCUUGAGGUCGAUACAUAAAGCUAAAUUAAAGAGCAGUGAUACUCUGAUGAAGGCCUUGAGGUCGAUACGUAAAGCUAAAUUAAAGAGCAGUGAUA